UGGAGAACACAGGAAUAGCAUAAAACCUCAUAGCCUGCAAAAAUCACUUAAUCUCACUGGACUCAAUGUUCUUGACUAUUAAUUGAAAGAACUGGUAUAGAUCAGUUGGUUUUCAAUUCUGGUUGUACUUUCCUAGGGCAUAUAAAAGAUAACAAAAGAUAACAACGCUCAGCCAUAUUUACCCAGACCAAUUAAGCCAAGUCUCUGGAGGAUAUGUUCUAGCCAGUGGGUCUCAAACUGUAAUGCUAUGCUAUUAGUCUAUGGAUCACACUUUGAGAACCACUGGACUAGGCAUAUGUGUAAGAGUGACUGUGCGUGUGAGUGUGUGUCCCCAGGUGAAUUCUAAUCACAAAACUACUGUAUAGAAAAUAUCAAUAAGGUUCUAAGUUUUAGGAUACUGAGAUUUUAAUAUAAUAAGAGU
rnacentral:lncRNA from 10 species